rnacentral:rRNA from 1 species
GAUCAUGGCUCAGGAUGAACGCUAGCGGCAGGCUUAACACAUGCAAGUCGAGGGGCAGCGGGGUGUAGCAAUACACUGCCGGCGACCGGCGCACGGGUGCGUAACGCGUAUGCAACCUACCCAUAACAGGGGCAUAACACUGAGAAAUUGGUACUAAUUCCCCAUAACAUUCGAAGAGGCAUCUCUUUGGGUUAGAAACUCCGGUGGUUAGUGGAGUGGGCAUGCGUUGUAUUAGCUAGUUGG